UGAGCUAGAGACAAAAAGAAACAAUACAAACAGACCUCGGCUCGUUAGCCGACGUGCUAAUCAGUACCUGUCACUGAGAAAGCUCUCAGAGACACAGCCACUGUCUCCUGAUAAACAAAGCCAGGCCUGUUCCGGGAUGCACCAGCUGUUUUGAUGGAGCCGGUUAGCACCACGUAGAAGCUCUGCAGACAGUAACUCAGGGUAAUUAGCCUGCAGCGUUCUCACCUUGCACGCUAAUCAGAGAGACGGAAUGUUCAACCUCAAAAUCCGUCUGCUCCUGUCAUUAGCGUCCCAGCCUGAAGGAUCCUAAUGGAUAUUAUACAGCAUGAGGGAUGAGUGCUCGGAGAGAGACGGACAGGCGGAACAGAGCUGAGGAGCUGAAAAAGAGUGUCAGUAUGGGCUCCAGAGAGAAGCAAAAAACCCUGCAAAUUUAACUAAGAAAUGAAGACACUCGUAAUCAGAUCGAGUCUCUCGAGGGGCCAAAGAGUCCUGGGAGUGUCGCCUUCAUCCUUCAUUAGGCUAUUAACAUCUGCCAUCUGUACGGAAGCUGCGAUCUCCCUCACGCAGAGCUCGUGCCAUAAAGGCUUUUCUGCCGAGACUGACAAGAGCGCAUCAAGGCCAACAGGAAAAAAAUAUAUAAAACCUUGCCGAUCCUGACACCAGUGUUUCAACAGGCGGAGAAAAGAACGGCGAUCGAAUCUGGGAAUCAUUCUACAGGCUUCACCUUAAACAAGUUUAUUAUGCGAGAAAAAGGAAUAUGGACGGUGUGAAUUUUGUCACUGGUUCUCCAGGAGAGCCACAGCUCAGUCAGAAUAAACCCAGACUGACAGGGGCGUGAUGAGGGCCGCUGGCCUUUGGCUCUCCCUGUCCCGGCCCACCGUUCAGCCAACACACACGGCCCAGAAUGCCCAGCAGCCAGCUACACGACAACAUCUGCUCAUUCGGAUGGCACCAGCAGGGUGCUGCCCGCUCCACAGCACGCCUGGCAAACACAACUCACAGAACGGACAGGUGGCUCAGCCAAUCAGCGGCUCUGGACCAGCUGAACCUGAGCUCAUGCCUUCUUCUCCCGCUCGGCUUCAGUGAACCGCAGCAAUCUCGUCCCGUCUCCUGGCUCUCACCAUGUGCCAUCUGGAUGAAGGGGAGGAGGGAUAACAGGCGUGUCCUGGUGCCACCCAAUACAGUUCAUUUUGCCUAAGGUUUGCAAAAAUACAUAUGAUGUAAUGAUAUGUCAUGAGGAUGAAAAAUUUUAAGAAUCCAAAUGGAACCUGUCCAGUUUGAAAAAAUGUGAUUCUUCUACAUCUGUAUCCUUUAUUGGUUUCUGAAGACAAGCUUUACUGUUUCAUUUUUAUCAUUAAAAGGGUCCAUGGAUGA